ACGAACGCUGGCGGCGUGCCUAAUACAUGCAAGUAGAACGCUGAAGAGAGGAGCUUGCUCUUCUUGGAUGAGUUGCGAACGGGUGAGUAACGCGUAGGUAACCUGCCUUGUAGCGGGGGAUAACUAUUGGAAACGAUAGCUAAUACCGCAUAACAAUGGAUGACCCAUGUCAUUUAUUUGAAAGGGGCAAAUGCUCCACUACAAGAUGGACCUGCGUUGUAUUAGCUAGUAGGUGAGGUAACGGCUCACCUAGGCGACGAUACAUAGCCGACCUGAGAGGGUGAUCGGCCACACUGGGACUGAGACACGGCCCAGACUCCUACGGGAGGCAGCAGUAGGGAAUCUUCGGCAAUGGGGGCAACCCUGACCGAGCAACGCCGCGUGAGUGAAGAAGGUUUUCGGAUCGUAAAGCUCUGUUGUAAGUCAAGAACGAGUGUGAGAGUGGAAAGUUCACACUGUGACGGUAGCUUACCAGAAAGGGACGGCUAACUACGUGCCAGCAGCCGCGGUAAUACGUAGGUCCCGAGCGUUGUCCGGAUUUAUUGGGCGUAAAGCGAGCGCAGGCGGUUUGAUAAGUCUGAAGUUAAAGGCUGUGGCUCAACCAUAGUUCGCUUUGGAAACUGUCAAACUUGAGUGCAGAAGGGGAGAGUGGAAUUCCAUGUGUAGCGGUGAAAUGCGUAGAUAUAUGGAGGAACACCGGUGGCGAAAGUGGCUCUCUGGUCUGUAACUGACGCUGAGGCUCGAAAGCGUGGGGAGCGAACAGG
rnacentral:rRNA from 1 species